rnacentral:rRNA from 1 species
UGAUGGCGUAUAUUAAAUUUGUUGCAGUUAAAAAGCUCGUAGUUGAAGUGAUGGCAGGCGAUUGGCAUCGUAGUUGAAGUGAUGGCAGGCGAUUGGCAUCCCUUACAGGGAACCUUUGGCCUGCUCGGCAUCUUCUGAUGCCUCGUUACUUUGAGAAAAAUAGAGUGUUUCAAGCGGGCAUUUGCUUAUAUAGUGUACCGUGGAAUAACAAUAAGGCUGCUCUUCCGCUGGUCGAUUCUCGGAAUUGCAGUGCGUGUUGAGAGGAACAGUCGGGGGUAUUCGUAUUGAACAGUCAGAGGUGAAAUUCUUAGAUUUGUUCAGGACGAACUAGUGCGAAGGCAUCUACCAAGGAUGUUUNCAUUAA